rnacentral:rRNA from 1 species
AUUGAACGCUGGCGGCAUGCCUUACACAUGCAAGUCGAACGGUAACAGGUCUUCGGAUGCUGACGAGUGGCGAACGGGUGAGUAAUACAUCGGAACGUGCCCGAUCGUGGGGGAUAACGAAGCGAAAGCUUUGCUAAUACCGCAUAAGAUCUACGGAUGAAAGCAGGGGACCGCAAGGCCUUGCGCGAACGGAGCGGCCGAUGGCAGAUUAGGUAGUUGGUGGGAUAAAAGCUUACCAAGCCGACGAUCUGUAGCUGGUCUGAGAGGACGACCAGCCACACUGGGACUGAGACACGGCCCAGACUCCUACGGGAGGCAGCAGUGGGGAAUUUUGGACAAUGGGCGCAAGCCUGAUCCAGCCAUGCCGCGUGCAGGAUGAAGGCCUUCAGGUUGUAAACUGCUUUUGUACGGAACGUAACGGUCCUGGUUAAUACCUGGGGCUAAUGACGGUACCGUAAGAAUAAGCACCGGCUAACUACGUGCCAGCAGCCGCAGUAAUAC